UGUGCUUCUCUUCUUCCUCCCACCCUCCACCCUCAAGUAGACCCCAGUGUCUUUCAUUCCCCAAAAGCUAACAUUUUAAACCAGCCCAAAAUAUAAUAAUUUUAAUCUGAAGUGGCAUGUGAUUUCUGUUAAUGAUAAAAAAGAUAACAUUUGAAAAGGAGUCCUUUUGAUAACCCAUGUAUUAAGGACUAAAUGUUUGUACCUUCUCCCACCCCCAGAAUCAUAUGUGAAACCCUAACAACCAAUGUGAAUGUAUUUGGAGAUAGGGUCAUAAGCAGAUGGUAGAGUUUAAAUGAGGUCAUAAGGGUGGAGCCCUAAUCUGAUAGAGCUGUUGCACUUUUCAGAAGAGGAAGAGAUACUGGAACGUGUCUCUGUCUGUGUGCAUUCAGAAAGAAGGCCAUGUGAUACAGUUUGGAUGUUGCCUCCAACCAAAUGUCAUGUCAAAAUGUAAUCUUCAGUAUUGGAGGGGAGGCAUGGUGGGGGGAGAUUGGGUCCCCCCACCCAGUGGAGGCAAGUUUCUCAUGAAUGGUUUAGCACCAUCCCCCUUGGUACUGUCUUCACAAUAGUGAGCUCUCAUGAUAUUUGGUCAUUUAAAAGUGUGUAGCACUUCCCCCUUCACGUUCUCUUGCUCCUGCUCUGGCCAUGUGACAUGCCUAUUCCCUCUUCACCUUCUGGCAUGACUGUUAAGUUUCCUGUGGCCUCCCUGGAAGCUGAGCAGAUUCCAUCAUCAUGCUUCCUGUACAGUCUGCAGAACCAUGAGCCAAUUAAGCCUCUUUUCUUUAUAAAUUACCCAGUCUGAGGUACUUCUUUAUAGCACUGCAAGAAUGGACUAAUACGCUAUGUGAAGACAAAGGGGAUGUCUGCAAGCCAGGACGAGUGCGUCUACCAGAAACUGAGUUCUGCUGGACUUUGAUCUAGGACAUCCAGCCUCCAGAAUGGAAUGUGCCAUAUGUGGAGACCUGCAUGGAAAGGAACUGAGGAUGCUCUCUCACUAAAAGCUAGAAGGAACUGAGGCCCUCAGUCAACAGUCUACAAGACACUGAAUCUUGCCAGCAGCCAAGCAGUGAGCUUGAAAGCAGAUCUAUCAUCAGCUGAACCUUCAGAUGAGACCGCAGCCUAAGCAGAUACCUUGGUUGCAGCCAUGUGAGACAACCUGAAACAGAGGGCACAGCUAAGCCUCAGCCAGGUUCAUGACCCUCUGAGGAAACUGUGAGAAAGCAAAUGUCAUUUUAAGCUAUUUAAUUUUGGAGGUAGUUUAUUACACAACAAUAAAUAACUAUUAUAAUUAUCUUGAGGAUUUAUUUCCUGGGGAGAAUACAUGGAAUUGCAUAUAUAGGUCCUCAUAUGCAGAAUACUGGUACCCUAGAGAUGUUCACCCCAGAGAUGUUUUAGGAACCUGUGAAUAUGUUACAUUAAAUGGCAAAGUUUUCCUGGAUGGUUUAAGUUUAAGAUGGAAAAGUUUUACUGGAUUAUCCAGUGGGUCCAAUCUAGUAACAUGAGUCCUUAAAAAUGGAGAAUAUUUUUUGGCCAUGAUCAGAGAGACAUGUGAUGAUGGAAAAAGUGUCAGAGAUGCAAUGUGAGGGGACUAAAACUGCUGUUGCUGACUUUAAAGAUGGAGAGAGGGGAACCCGAGUCAAGGAAUGCAAAUGGCCUCUGGAAGCUGGAAAAAGCAAGAAAUGGAUUCUCCUUUAGAGCCUGUGGAAUAAAAUGCAGUCAUGCUGACACCUUGAUUUUACCUCAGUGAGACCAAUACUGGAGUAUGACCUUCGGAGCUGAAUAAAAUUAUACGUACACAUCUUAAUUUCUUGGGAUUUGAUUACUUCUUCUGCUUUGAAAUUAGACCAAGUUUAGCCUGCCUUUGCUAUUUUGGCGUAUCUCCAAUUCUUCAUGAUUUUCUCAUCGCAAAGGCCACAUAAGGACAGUGAGAAGGCAGCCACCUGCAAGCCAGGAAGAAAGGUCUCACCAGAUACCAACCCUGCCAGCAUGUUGAUCUUGGACUUCCAGCCUCCAAAACUGGCCUUCUGCUCACAUGGGCUUCCGUGCACCUGCUUCAGGAGACAGCAACACUUGCGCCCGCACCGCGGCAGGCUCCCAUCACCUGGUGGAUAUGCCGCGCCGAGUCUCAUCACACCUUAGUGAAGGAACACAUGGACCCAUAUGUUAGCGGAUGUAUUUACAUCGUUUUAUACAGAAAGGGGAAAUGGAGUCUUGCUCUGUCACACAUGCUAGAGUCCAG
rnacentral:lncRNA from 1 species